GGGCCCGGGUGCGAUCCGGCUCGGAGGAGCGCGGUGUCCUCGAAGGCCCGUCGCGUUUUAUCGCGGAGCUUACAGCUUCUCCUCCAAAGACACGCUGGCGCUGCUCACUGCUUGGAUUUGGUAGCUGAUGAUACGGGACAAAAGAGCGUGUCUUUAAAAAGAAAGACAGAAGAAAAUAAUUCAGCUGCACGUAGUGCAGGCUGUAAGACCUUCUAUAAAAAUCCCUAAGGGCAUGUUUUUAAUCUUAGAAACACGCUGUGUGUAGUAUUCUUGCCCGGACCUCUACUAUUGCAAAYGCUAGCUGGAGCAGCUUUUUGCAAAUGGGAUGAUAAUAAAUUUAUUUUCUGUGUGUUGUGGCAAAAAACAAUUGUUACAAUCCUGUAGCAAUAACAUUAAACAGAGUACACAACCCAUUCUAAUGCUAUCUAUUUGCUCUGCUUUUUGCCUUUGUUGCAUGCUAGACAGUACAGCCAGAGAACAAGAAUGAUAGUGAAGAAGAAGAGACUAUUCCUCUGAUGGACCAAGAAGAGACAUUUCUCCCAGCAGAAGGAGUCACCUUUGGGGCUGCAGAGCUGUCCACUGGUUCUGCAGAAGAAAAAUCUGCUGAGGCUUUCUCAGACAAAGUCAAAGUUGACAGUCGUCCUCCUGAAUUGGGUGACAUGGAACAGCCAAUAAUAGACAGAGGAAACCCUUCCCACACCUCUUCAGGAGCUCUUACGCGGACAUCGGCAUUGUCAGUGCAGGUGGACAGUCAUGCAGAAUCAGGUAUCAAUCAGUUCCUUAUUAGUAGUACAAUACUUGAUACCACCUAUCAGACACAGGAUCUAGUUUUCUCCUAGAUCAUUGUGAAUCCAACUGGAGGCAUAAUACUAUAAAAUCUAAGCCUUACCAUUAACCUCUGGAAGUGCUCAGAGCCAACCUUUAAAUUCCUUACAUAAUAACUUUCCUCCUUAUUGUUAUGGUAACCGUACUUUUAUGAUUUAUAUUCUGAAUGCUAAUAACAUCGUGAGACAAUCUAGGCUGCCAAGGAAAGGAGGCUUUGUUAUGUAUUUCCUUCCAUCAGGACAUCUGUUUAUCUUGGCACAUCCUCUAAUACAUAGAAUUUCCUUUCUGUGACAUCUCC
rnacentral:lncRNA from 1 species